AUUGAACGCUGGCGGCAGGCCUAACACAUGCAAGUCGAACGCGUGGCGGACGGGUGUGUAAUGUCUGUGAAACUGCCCGAUGUAGGGGGAUAACUCCUGGAAACGGUAGCUAAUACCGCAUACCCUCGGAUGUGCCCCGAUGGGGAUAGCUAGUAGGUGGGGUAACGGCUCACCUAGGCGACGAUCCCUAGCUGGUGUGAGAGGAUGACCAGCCACACUGGAACUGAGACACGGUCCAGACUCCGACGGGAGGCAGCAGUGGGGAAUAUUGCACAAUGGGCGCAAGCCUGAUGCAGCCAUGCCGCGUGUAUGAAGAAGGCCUUCGGGUUGUAAAGUACUUUCAGCGAGGAGGCGUUACUCGCAGAAGAAGCACCGGCUAACUCCGUGCCAGCAGCCGCGGUAAUUC
rnacentral:rRNA from 1 species